AGCUUUGCACAGGGGCAGUAUCGUAGCCAAUGAGGUUUAUCCGAGACUAGGGUAUAGCCAAUUGAAACCUUUUCCCAAUACCCUCCAUGACGACUUGAAAUAUAGUCGGUAAUUACGGAUGGUCUCUACGGAGA
rnacentral:snRNA from 1 species